AGGAUGAACGCUGGCGGCGUGCCUAACACAUGCAAGUCGAACGUCCUGUCUCGCAAGAGGCAGGGAGUGGCGGACGGGUGAGUACCACGUGGGUCAUCUACCGUGAGGUGAGGAAUACCGACGAGAAAUCGCCGACAAGACCGCAUAGGCUCGAUGCAAGUCGAGGCAAAGCUCUUUCGAGAGAGGGAGCGCCACACGAGGAGCCUGCGCCCGAUUAGCUAGCUGGUGGAGUAACGGUUCACCAGGGCGACGAUCGGUAGCUGGUCUGAGAGGACGAUCAGCCACACUGGGAUUGAGAACGGCCCAGACUCCUACGGGGGGCAGCAGUGAGGAAUUUUCGUCAAUGGGGGCAACCCUGAACGAGCAACGCCGCGUGCAGGAAGAAGGUUUUCGGAUCGUAAACUGCUUUUCUCGGGGAAGAGAACGGACGGUACCCGAGGAAUCAGCCCCGGCUAACUACGUGCCAGCAGCCGCGGU
rnacentral:rRNA from 1 species